rnacentral:rRNA from 1 species
GACGAACGCUGGCGGCGUGCUUAACACAUGCAAGUCGAACGGAAAGGCCCUGCUUUUGUGGGGUGCUCGAGUGGCGAACGGGUGAGUAACACGUGAGUAACCUGCCCUUGACUUUGGUAUAACUUCAGGAAACUGGGGCUACUACCGGAUAGGAUCUCCUGCUGCAUGGUGGGGGUUGGAACGUUUCGGCGGUUGGGGAUGGACUCGCGGCUUAUCAGCUUGUUGGUGGGUAGUGGCUUACCAAGGCUUUGACGGGUAGCCGGCCUGAGAGGGUGACCGGCCACAUUGGGACUGAGAUACGGCCCAGACUCCUACGGGAGGCAGCAGUGGGGAAUAUUGCACAAUGGGCGGAAGCCUGAUGCAGCAACGCCGCGUGCGGGAUGACGGCCUUCGGGUUGUAAACCGCUUUCGCCUGUGACGAAGCGUGAGUGACGGUAAUGGGUAAAGAAGCACCGGCUAACUACGUG